AGAACAGGGUAUUUGGCUAGCUCUACUGCAGCAAGCGAACUGCCCUUCAUCCCUUGAAAUUUGACAGAUGGGAUGUAUAUUGGCAAACUCAGUUGGGGUGGGUGACUUGUUCUUCAGUAUGUUAGGAUUUUUGGCUCCCACUGGGGUGAUGUCACAGUGGCUAAGGCAGGGAUGUACUGUGACCUGAAUUUGAGGCCAAAUCAACAGAGAGGACAACAACAGAAAGCAAACACAGGUUCCAAGACAGCUCAGGAGUGGCAUCGGUACAAGUCUCUGAAUGUACUUGAGCGGCCCAGCCAAAGUCCGAUCGAAGAUCUCUGGAGAGACCUGAAAAUGGUGGUGCAGCAACACUCCCCAUCCAACCUGACAGAGCAUUAGAGGAUCUGCAAAGAAGAAUGGGAGAAACUUCCCAAAUACAGGUGUGCCAAGCUAAUAGCAUAUCCAAUAAUACUCUAUGCAGUAAUCGCUGCCAAAGGUGAUUCCACAAAGUACUGAGCAAAGGGUCUGAAUACUUACGUAAAUGUGUUAUUUCAGUUUUUUAAUACACAUUUGCAAACAUUUCUAAAAAACUGUUUUUCCUUUGUCAUUAUGGGGUAUUGUGUGUAGAUUGAUGAGGGAAAAAAAGCAAUUUAAUAAAUUUUAGAAUAAGGGUGUAACGUAAAAAACUGUGGGAAAAGUCAUGGGGUUUGAAUACUUUCCAACUGUAUAUUGCAUACUGAACAACAACUGAGUAAAAAUAGAAUUCUCACAAUGUAAAUGUCAAUUGUAUUUCAAAACUUUCUAAGAAUGUCAAAAACAUACAUUGAAAAUUAUGGAAAUAAGAUUCAUUGUCAAUAUGAUGUUUGUAUUGCUCAGGAACAGACAGACAAGUUUUCACUCAUGACAGCUGUCAAAGUCCUGGAGGCAACGCCCACUAAUCUGAAGAGCGCUUGUGAUUUUUGUGAUUGGUCACAUAUGGACCAAUCCCUGAAGCUGUUCAGGCACAAUUUCUAUAGUUUGGGCCACUCACAUGGCAGCACUGUUGUUGUUUGGAUUGUGUAACGUGUGCUGCACGUGUUUGACAAUGCGCGGAGCAGAAGGAGGGAAAGAGAAAGAACAGAGAGAAAAAAAGAC